UACGUUGGGUGCAAGCGUUAUCCGGAAUUAUUGGGCGUAAAGAGCUCGUAGGCGGUUUGUCGCGUCUGCUGUGAAAACCCGAGGCUCAACCUCGGGCCUGCAGUGGGUACGGGCAGACUAGAGUGCGGUAGGGGAGAAUGGAAUUCCUGGUGUAGCGGUGGAAUGCGCAGAUAUCAGGAGGAACACCGAUGGCGAAGGCAGUUCUCUGGGCCGUAACUGACGCUGAGGAGCGAAAGCGUGGGGAGCGAACAGG
rnacentral:rRNA from 1 species